rnacentral:rRNA from 1 species
AACGAACGCUGGCGGCAGGCCUAACACAUGCAAGUCGAGCGCUCACCUUCGGGUGGGAGCGGAGCACGGGUGAGUAACACGUGGGAACCUACCUUGAAGUACGGAAUAACUGAGGGAAACUUCAGCUAAUACCGUAUGCGCUCUACGGGGGAAAGAUUUAUCGCUUCAGGACGGUCCCGCGUUGGAUUAGCUAGUUGGUGAGGUAACGGCUCACCAAGGCAACGAUCCAUAGCUGAUUUGAGAGAAUGAUCAGCCACACUGGGACUGAGACACGGCCCAGACUCCUACGGGAGGCAGCAGUGGGGAAUAUUGGACAAUGGGCGCAAGCCUGAUCCAGCCAUGCCGCGUGAGUGAUGAAGGCCUUCGGGUUGUAAAGCUCUUUCAGAUGGGACGAUGAUGACGGUACCAUCAGAAGAAGCCCCGGCUAACUUCGUGCCAGCCGCCGCAGUAAAAC